AAUCUAUUUUUUUGUUCCAUCACCAUCCUUUUUCUCUUCUAUCUCUCCAAAACCCUAAGUUCUCACCUCCCCACCCUCCCAAAUGCCACCUCUGUCUCUCCAAACCCCUCCAAUCCUAAUCCCACUCCCUUCUCUCUCACCAAAAUCCUGUCUACUUCUCCCUAUGCUCCUCCUUCCCCAAAUCCCUCCCCUGCUUUCCAUCUCUUUGUGGCACUUUCUGCCCGAUUUUCCCCAUCCGCACCUCUGCCUCAUCUGAUAGUGUUGCUGCCUCCCCCGUCGCACCGUCUAGCUCAUCGUGGUAGGGCACAACCUUAAAGCCCCUAGCCGUUCGAUUGCCCCAACAGAGAAGGCCAUCAGGCGGGCAGCGUUGAGGGCCCGAGCAAGGCCGAUGAAGAUCCGGUCGGUGGUGGUGCCCGCAAGGGCAAGGACAAUGCCCAACGGGUAGAGAAUCAAACAUGGGGCCCUGGAAAGUGCCCAUGCGACACUGCCGAAGAGAGCCAGACAAUGGCGAGCGUGAUGACGACGACAGCGAUGACUGGAGAGAGGAUGAUUUUCAGGAUGAUCGGAGAGUCGAAAGAUCUGCAGCUUCGUAGCCAUCUGGGUGCUGCUCCCCUCCCUCGAUCAUGCCCUCGUGAGCCGCUGCAGAUGCUCUCCAACACUGUCUGAACGAGCUCCCGACUGCGGUCGGGAUGAAAAUCUGGAGAUCUCCACCUGAACGAGCUCGCAGCAAAGGCGAGGACAGAGUAGAGGGGGGUCGGGCCGAGGAGCAGAGGGACGAGCACACAGCGAUGCCGACGAGGGCGGAGGGGCGGGCCACAAUCGGGCCAAGAGCGUGGUGAGCCGUAGAGAUUAGAGAUAGAGGUGAUCAUCAUAUUGAGCAACUAGUCCUUCGAUAAGUUCACACAUCCUACCUCCCAACUGAGAAUCAAAAUAUGGGGUAGGAGCUUCUCCAAUUUGUCAUGCCAUAUAACAUCAUCGACAAAGUGGAACUUUUGGAGGAAGACCUUGUGCUCUUGUAUGGAAGAGGUGCUCAAUGUAUCAAUGUUUGGAUUGACCGUGAUGACGGAGGCUUGAAACUUGAAAAGGAAGAUGAUAAGCUCUUGCUUUCAGAUUGCAUAAA